rnacentral:misc_RNA from 1 species
AAGUCGUAACAAGGUUUCCGUAGGUGAACCUGCGGAAGGAUCAUUACCGAUUUUAGCGGACCUGAUCUUUGAUCAUGGUCUCGCGAAAACUUGUAUUUAAAACCCCACUCUUAUAAAUUGAAUCAUUUUAUUAUGUAUAUAGUAAAUAAAGAUCACUUUCAACAACGGAUCUCUUGGCUCUC